AGAUUGAACGCUGGCGGCAUGCCUUACACAUGCAAGUCGAACGGCAGCACGGGAGCAAUCCUGGUGGCGAGUGGCGAACGGGUGAGUAAUACAUCGGAACGUGCCCAAUCGUGGGGGAUAACGCAGCGAAAGCUGUGCUAAUACCGCAUAAGAUCUACGGAUGAAAGCAGGGGAUCGCAAGACCUUGCGCGAAUGGAGCGGCCGAUGGCAGAGUUAGGUAGUUGGUGAGGUAAAGGCUCACCAAGCCUUCGAU
rnacentral:rRNA from 1 species